rnacentral:rRNA from 1 species
UGGACGAAAGUCUGACCGAGCAACGCCGCGUGAGUGAAGAAGGUUUUCGGAUCGUAAAGCUCUGUUGUAAGAGAAGAACGAGUGUGAGAGUGGAAAGUUCACACUGUGACGGUAUUUUACCAGAAAGGGACGGCUAACUACGUGCCAGCAGCCGCGGUAAU